rnacentral:rRNA from 1 species
AGAGCGAACGCUGGCGGCAGGCUUAACACAUGCAAGUCGAGCGGGCGUAGCAAUACGUCAGCGGCAGACGGGUGAGUAACGCGUGGGAACGUACCUUUUGGUUCGGAACAACACAGGGAAACUUGUGCUAAUACCGGAUAAGCCCUUACGGGGAAAGAUUUAUCGCCGAAAGAUCGGCCCGCGUCUGAUUAGCUAGUUGGUGAGGUAACGGCUCACCAAGGCGACGACCAGUAGCUGGUCUGAGAGGAUGAUCAGCCACAUUGGGACUGAGACACGGCCCAAACUCCUACGGGAGGCAGCAGUGGGGAAUAUUGGACAAUGGGCGCAAGCCUGAUCCAGCCAUGCCGCGUGAGUGAUGAAGGCCCUAGGGUUGUAAAGCUCUUUUGUGCGGGAAGAUAAUGACGGUACCGCAAGAAUAACGCCCGGCUAACUUCGUGCCAGCAGCCGC